rnacentral:rRNA from 1 species
CGGUUGUCAGCAAGGGCAAUAGUGGCGCACGGGUGCGUAACGCGUAACCAACCUACCCGAAUCUGGGGGAUAGCCCGCCGAAAGGCGGAUUAAUACCGCAUAAAACUGCAGCACGGCAUCGUGUAACAGUUAAAGAUUUAUUGGAUUCGGAUGGGGUUGCGUGCCAUUAGCUAGUUGGCGGGGUAACGGCCCACCAAGGCGACGAUGGCUAGGGGAGCUGAGAGGCUGGUCCCCCACACGGGCACUGAGAUACGGGCCCGACUCCUACGGGAGGCAGCAGUAGGGAAUAUUGGGCAAUGGUCGAGAGACUGACCCAGCCAUGCCGCGUGUAGGAUGAAGGCUUUCUGAGUCGUAAACUGCUUUUACCAGGGAAAAAAAAAGGGGAUGCGUCCUCUACUGACGGUACCUGGUGAAUAAGCACCGGCUAACUCCGUGCCAGCAGCCGCGGUAAUACGGAGGGUGCAAGCGUUGUCCGGAUUUAUUGGGUUUAAAGGGUGCGUAGGCGGCUGAUUAAGUCUGGGGUGAAAGCCCGUUGCUCAACAACGGAACUGCCCUGGAAACUGGUUAGCUUGAGUACAGACGAGGGUGGCGGAAUGGAUACUGUAGCGGUGAAAUGCAUAGAUAGUAUCCAGAACCCCGAUUGCGAAGGCAGCUGCCUAGACUGUAACUGACGCUGAGGCACGAAAGCGUGGGGAGCGAACAGGAUUAGAUACCCUGGUA